AACGCGAAGAACCUUACCCAGGCUUGACAUGCAGUAGACCGAUCCAGAGAUGGGUCUUUCCUUCGGGACUGCUGCACAGGUGCUGCAUGGCUGUCGUCAGCUCGUGCCGUGAGGUGUUGGGUUAAGUCCCGCAACGAGCGCAACCCUUAUCAUUAGUUGCCAACAUUUAAGGUGGGAACUCUAAUGAGACUGCCCGGGUUAACCGGGAGGAAGGUGAGGAUGACGUCAAGUCCGCAUGGCCCUUAUGUCUGGGGCUACACACGUGCUACAAUGGUCGGUACAGAAGGCAGCGAAACCGCGAGGUGAAGCAAAUCCCUAAAACCGGCCUCAGUUCAGAUUGUAGUCUGCAACUCGACUACAUGAAGACGGAAUUGCUAGUAAUGGCGAGUCAGCAACAUCGCCGUGAAUACGUUCCCGGGCCUUGUA
rnacentral:rRNA from 1 species